rnacentral:rRNA from 1 species
UUUUAAAUGGCCGCAGUAUUUUGACUGUGCAAAGGUAGCAUAAUCAUUAGUUUUUUAAUUAAAAGCUUGUAUGAAAGGCUGGACGAGGUAAAAUCUGUCUCUAUCUAAAUUAUAGUAGAAUUUAACUUUUAAGUUAAAAGGCUUAAAUAUUAUUAAAAGACGAGAAGACCCUAUAGAUCUUUAUAGCUUAUUAAAUUAAAUUAAUUUAGAAAUAUUAAUGUUUUAUUUAACUAAGGUAUUUUAUUGGGGUAAUAAAAAGAUUAAAUAAAUUCUUUUUUAUAAUAAACAUUAAUUUAUGAAUAUUAAUGAUCCAGUUUUACUGAUUAUAAGAUUAAGUUACCUUAGGGAUAACAGCGUAAUUUUUUUAGAGAGUUCAUAUCGAUAAAAAAGUUUGCGACCUCGAUGUUGGAUUAAAGAUUAUUUUAGGUGUAGAAGCUUAAUAAUUUUGGUCUGUUCGACCAUUAAAUCUUUACAUGAUCUGAGUUCAGACCGGCGUAAGCCAGGUCGGUUUCUAUCUUUAAUAAAAUAAAAUAUUUUAGUACGAAAGGACCAAAUAUUUAAUAUAUUUAUAUUUAAUUUACUGAAUAUUA